rnacentral:misc_RNA from 1 species
CCUCCUUAUACGAUUUAGAACUUAUUUGUUCGUAGUGUCCACACAGAUGAUUGUUAGUUAGUUUUACCCUUUGGGUUAACUAAUUAAUAUGCUCUUUAAAAAUUUGGAAAAGCUGAUAAUAAAAUUCGUAUGAAUAACAUUGUUAUUUGUACAGAGUUUUCAAAAGUAAAAAAGAAUGAUAGCAGUAUCAUUCAGUGCCAAUUUAAUCCUCGGAUUAAUUGGUAUCUACUUUAGUAUUCAAUAUUAACUUCUGGCGAAAUUAAACUGUCACGAAACAAANACCCGUUUGGGUUGUAUGGGUUAAGUGACUAAAGCGUACACGAUGGAUGCCCUUGGCCAAAGGGGCCUAAAUUCCAUUCCAACCGGCGGCCCUUUACUUAUUGGGAUCCCGAAGCUCCGGGUACCCAAGCUUUGGA